rnacentral:rRNA from 1 species
AGGAUAAACGCUGGCGGCGUGCUUAACACAUGCAAGUCGAACGAUGAAGCCGGAGCUUGCUCUGGUGGAUUAGUGGCGAACGGGUGAGUAACACGUGAGUAACCUGCCCUUGACUCUGGGAUAAGCACUGGAAACGGUGUCUAAUACCGGAUACGAGCUUUAGCCGCAUGGCUAGGAGCUGGAAAGAAUUUCGGUCAAGGAUGGACUCGCGGCCUAUCAGGUAGUUGGUGAGGUAACGGCCACCAAGCCUACGACGGGUAGCCGGCCUGAGAGGGUGACCGGCCACACUGGGACUGAGACACGGCCCA